AGGCGGGAAACUGAGGGCGUGGCCCCAGCGGAAAAGAUGGCGGCCCUUGUGUGGAGCGAAGGGGCGGGGCAGGGCAGAGUCCUUAGCAACCAGGCAGAGGCUGCCUCCUCCUUAGCAACCAGGCCUGGGCUUUCGCGAGGCGGGAGGCAUCAGAGCGUUCUUCGUCCCGUCAGGCAAAGCAGACAGUUUGGAAAUGUGUGCCUCAGCAAAGAUCCUAACAAGUCUUCAGGAAAACAUGGGACUGGCUUUUUGUGAACAGCGGGAGACUUUUACGCCCAGCAGGCCUCCGCGUAAGGAACACACACGGCUUCGCACUCCGGGCUGCCGUUUGGGCUGUCUCUCCCGCCUCUGCACUGACCACGUUCCACCUGACACCACCACUAUGCACUCGCCAAAGGGUUCCCUUCUUCACUACGGGCAGCAAAAAGACUGGCGGAAAAGAACAGCGGGGCUGACACAGGAGAAGGCGGGCAAGCAGCAGACAUGACCAAAGAAGAGGACAACAGAGACCUGUGUGAUACCUCUGCUGAACAGUUUUCUCAGUUGGAAAUGCUGUUCCGGCAGUUUUUAAAGUGCAGUUUUUAAUAUGCCAGAAGUCUCAGUAAUUCUUGCUUCAAAAAACCAGCAUGGUGAUAACUGUCAAAUAUGACUGUCUCAAUAAGUUGUGUUUCUCUUUAUUAUUCAUUGUGGAGUAAAAUUGUCAUCUCUCAAGAGCAGGGCCUGUCUUGUAGCAGCCCCUGAAUUUGGCAGUGUGCUUUUCUUCUUCCAUGUCCAAUUGAAGGAACUACUUAAGACAUACUUAUUCUGUCCGGAAUUGAAUUAGUUGUAAUUUAAAAAAAAAAUACUGAUCAGCUAAGAGCUUUAUUAAUGUUGGUAUAAAGUAAGUGAGCUGAAAUAUUUAAUGUAUGAUAUACUGGAGCCGUUGUUGCUAAUAGUAAUUAAUCGCUUUGAGAACAAAAAAAUUUGAAAUAUUAAUACAAAGAAGAGUUUCCAGGGGAAAGCUUUGGAUGCCUGUGUAGUCAGUGGUAAGGAGGAAAGUGUGGCUAAGGUAUGCCACGCCCAAAAUGGCUGC